AAAACGUAUUGGUCUUUAGCUCUUUUGUAAUUAAAUCUGGAUGUACCUCAAGAGAAUCUUUUAAGACUUUGGUGAUACAAGGCUUUCCUC
rnacentral:lncRNA from 1 species